rnacentral:rRNA from 1 species
GAUACGACCGUACCGCAAACCGACACUGGUGCGCGAGAUGAGUAUUCUAAGGCGCUUGAGAGAACUCAGGAGAAGGAACUCGGCAAAUUGACACCGUAACUUCGGAAGAAGGUGUGCCCUAUUAGUGUGUAGUGAACAACGAAGCAUGAAUGGGUUGCAAAAAAUCGGUGGCUGCGACUGUUUAUUAAAAACACAGCACUCUGCAAACACGAAAGUGGACGUAUAGGGUGUGACGCCUGCCCGGUGCUGGAAGAUUAAAUGAUGGGGUGCAAGCUCUUGAUUGAAGUCCCAGUAAACGGCGGCCGUAACAAUAACGGUCCUAAGGUAGCGAAAUUCCUUGUCGGGUAAGUUCCGACCUGCACGAAUGGCGUAACGAUGGCCACACUGUCACCUCCUGAGACUCAGCGAAGUUGAAAUGUUUGUGAUGAUGCAAUCUCCCCGCGGAAAGACGGAAAGACCCCAUGAACCUUUACUGUAGCUUUGUAUUGGACUUUGAACAGAUCUGUGUAGGAUAGGUGGGAGGCUUUGAAGCAGGGUCGCUAGAUCUUGUGGAGCCAACGUUGAAAUACCACCCUGGUGUGUUUGAGGUUCUAACCUAGGUCCAUUAUCUGGAUCGGGGACAGUGCAUGGUAGGCAGUUUGACUGGGGCGGUCUCCUCCCAAAGCGUAACGGAGGAGUUCGAAGGUACGCUAGUUACGGUCGGACAUCGUGACGAUAGUGCAAUGGCAUAAGCGUGCUUAACUGCGAGACUGACAAGUCGAGCAGAUGCGAAAGCAGGACAUAGUGAUCCGGUGGUUCUGUAUGGAAGGGCCAUCGCUCAACGGAUAAAAGGUACUCUGGGGAUAACAGGCUGAUACCGCCCAAGAGUUCAUAUCGACGGCGGUGUUUGGCACCUCGAUGUCGGCUCAUCUCAUCCUGGGGCUGUAGCCGGUCCCAAGGGUAUGGCUGUUCGCCAUUUAAAGAGGUACGUGAGCUGGGUUUAAAACGUCGUGAGACAGUUUGGUCCCUAUCUUCCGUGGGCGCUGCAGAUUUGAGGAAGCCUGCUCCUAGUACGAGAGGACCGGAGUGGACACACCUCUGGUGUAUCGGUUGUCACGCCAGUGGCAUUGCCGAGUAGCUAAGUGUGGAAGAGAUAACCGCUGAAAGCAUCUAAGCGGGAAACUCGUUUCAAGAUGAGAUCUGCCGGGGCCUUGAGCCCCCUAAAGAGUCGUUCAAGACCAGGACGUUGAUAGGUCAGGUGUGGAAGCGAAAAAA